GACGAACGCUGGCGGCGUGGAUUAGGCAUGCAAGUCGAACGGUAUCAUCCUUUCGGGGGUGAGAGAGUGGCGAACUGGUGAGUAACACGUAGGUUAUCUACCCUCAAGACGGGGACAACCCAGGGAAACUUGGGCUAAUACCGGAUGUGAGCAACUUUUAGUUGUUUGAAAGGUGGCGUAAGCUGUCGCUUGGGGAUGAGCCUGCGUCCUAUUAGUUAGUUGGUGAGGUAACGGCUCACCUAGGCAAUGAUAGGUAGGCGGCCUUAACGGGUGGUCGCCCACACUGGGAUUGAGAUACGGCCCAGACUCCUACGGGAGGCAGCAGUCGAGAAUAGUCUACAAUGGUCGGAAGACUGAUAGUGCGACGCCGCGUGAACGAUGAAUCCCUUCGGGGUGUAAAGUUCUUUUAUAUGUGAGCAGUGCUUCUUAUAUUAACAGUAUGGGGAAGAGAUAUUAGCAUAUGAAUAAGCAAACGGCUAAACUCCGUCCAGCAGCCGCGGUAAACACG
rnacentral:rRNA from 1 species